GAUGAACGCUGGCGGCGUGCUUAACACAUGCAAGUCGAACGAAGCACUUUAUUUGAUUUCCUUCGGGACUGAUUAUUUUGUGACUGAGUGGCGGACGGGUGAGUAACGCGUGGGUAACCUGCCUUGUACAGGGGGAUAACAGUUGGAAACGGCUGCUAAUACCGCAUAAGCGCACAGCAUCGCAUGAUGCAGUGUGAAAAACUCCGGUGGUAUAAGAUGGACCCGCGUUGGAUUAGCUAGUUGGUGAGGUAACGGCCCACCAAGGCGACGAUCCAUAGCCGAGCUGAGAGGGUGACCGGCCACAUUGGGACUGAGACACGGCCCAAAAUCCUACGGGAGGCAGCAGUGGGGAAUAUUGCACAAUGGGCGAAAGCCUGAAGCAGCGACGCCGCGUGAGCGAAGAAGUAUUUAGGUAUGUAAAGCUCUAUCAGCAGGGAAGAUAAUGACGGUACCUGACUAAGAAGCACCGGCUAAAUACGUG
rnacentral:rRNA from 1 species